rnacentral:rRNA from 1 species
GUGGGGAAUUUUGCGCAAUGGGCGAAAGCCUGACGCAGCAACGCCGCGUGAGUGAUGAAGGCUUUCGGGUCGUAAAGCUCUGUCAAGGGGAAAGAAGUGUAUUGUGGUUAAUACCCAUGAUACUUGACGGUACCCCUAAAGGAAGCACCGGCUAACUCCGUGCCAGCAGCCGCGGUAAUACGGGGGGUGCAAGCGUUGUUCGGAAUUAUUGGGCGUAAAGCGCGUGUAGGCGGUUUGUUAAGUCUGAUGUGAAAGCCCUGGGCUCAACCCAGGAAGUGCAUUGGAUACUGGCAGACUUGAAUACGGGAGAGGGUAGUGGAAUUCCUGGUGUAGGAGUGAAAUCCGUAGAUAUCAGGAGGAACACCGGUGGCGAAGGCGGCUGCCUGGACCGAUAUUGACGCUGAGACGCGAAAGCGUGGGUAGCAAACAGGAUUAGAUACCCUAGUAGUCC